UCAAAUAAAGAUGAAAAAUAAAAUAAAAUUGAGAGCAUCUUCCUCUCCCCUGCUUUGCUCAUCCCUUGUUCUUCCACUUCAGCCCCACUAUUACACCAUUUUUUCAGCCACAAUUAUAAUAGCUCCAUGAGCAUUAAGUCCUUUUCAAAUUCUGCUAAUAUUCAAAAUUGGAAUUUGCUGGUGAUAUAUGACAGCAUCUUUGUCCGACCAAAAAUAAAAAGAAAAAAAAGUUGAUAGCAAAUUAUACCAUUUUGGCCAGUGUACGCAGUAUUAUUGCGUCCAACUUUGCAUAUUAACAUCGGUGGCCACAGUUCCACCAUUUGAGUGCACAGAAAAGGUUUCAAAAGUUGUCCCACAAAGAACAGUCCUUCAAAGUGAAAGAGAGUUUUCAAAGCUCAAUAUCAAAAAGCUUUCAUACUUGCUAACAAACCUGUAUUUCCAAGUUCUGCAAACCUUGGAAUAUCACUUCAUCCAAAUCCCUUCCAAAGCAGAGAAAAAUGGCAGCAGCUUUGAUCAGAGAGGCUCUCAUCUCUACUUCAUUCGAGGUGUUGUGUGACAGAGUUACUUCACCCAAGUUUAUCGACUUAUGUCAGCAGAAGAAACUCGAUGAACCACUCCUCAUGAACCUGAAGACGACACUGUUGACUUUGUUCGCUGUGCUCCAUGAUGCAGAGGAGAAGCAAAUUGUGAACCCUGCUGUGAGAGAGUGGCUUAGCGAGCUCAAGCAUGCUGUCUUUGAUGCAGAGGACUUACUGGAUGAGAUUGACACUGAAGCUUUGCGAUGCAAGCUGGAAGGAGUCAGCCACACAGAAUAAGAAACUACGGAUGGGAGCCAUCUUAUUUCAUACUAUUUUAAAAUCCCUUUCUUUCUCAACAAUGGAGGAAUUUAUACUAAUCGCGUAGCUUUAUCUAUAUGGUUGCGGCUGGUUAAGGAGGAUCAGACUAAGCAGGUUCAUACAUUGCAUGCGUCACAUCAUCAGCAUUUCAGACUGAAAAUGGAUUUUUCGAGAUAUCUUAAGCGCAGUGGAAAAUUAUCAGAUUGAUCUACACAAAGAGUCUUAAACAUGGUUCUGUUGGAUGCUGGAAGUGCCUCUUAUCGAACAGACCAAAUAUGUUCACACGUGGCAUCGCUCAAGUCAUCAUCAUUUCAGACAGAAAAUCAGCCUUCAAGUGUCUCUGCUGAGUCAAUGAACCUUUCUAGAUAUAUCAAGUGCAAUGGACAUUCAUGAGUUACAUAGAGAUUUGUAAACAUUUUGAAGAUUGCAACACCUGCAAGUGAGUGGUGACGAAAUCAGAGAUGAUCUUGAAGCCUCUGAUGCCCCUGUUGUUGCAAGUUGCACCUGAGAACAUGUUUUUUUUUUUUCGGGUUAAAAACUGGCAACAUAUUCGGAGCUGGCAAUUGAAUCCCUGAUGAACUUGAGAAGCAAAGCUUCAGUAAGGAAAUGGGUCGAGGUCACAACAGGGAUGAUUGAUGGUGAAAUGGGUGCUAUUUCUUAUUGCAGCCUGUUCUCAAAGUUCUUGUUGGCAAAUGCAAGAGAUGGUGUAUUUUGAUUGGGGGGAGAGAUAAUGACAUGUCUUCACAAUUCUAGAACAGCCCAUCUAAGUUCUUUUGUCAGGCUGCAUCAUUUAAUCCCAGUAAAAAUCCAGUUUCUGCCAAACAAUCACUUAUGGCAAGGCCAGCUCUGUAAAUGGAAUUUGUGAUCCCUUACAUUUUCUUUUUGAGGAAUUUAACUUUGUCAUCAAACAAUAUUCUAAUGCAUUAUGGUAGCACUA